rnacentral:rRNA from 1 species
UACGUAGGGGGCAAGCGUUGUCCGGAUUUAUUGGGCGUAAAGAGCUCGUAGGCGGCUUGUUGCGUCGUCCGUGAAAACCUGUGGCUCAACUACAGGCUUGCGGUCGAUACGGGCGGGCUGGAGUUCGGUAGGGGAGACUGGAAUUCCUGGUGUAGCGGUGAAAUGCGCAGAUAUCAGGAGGAACACCGGUGGCGAAGGCGGGUCUCUGGGCCGAUACUGACGCUGAGACGCGAAAGCGUGGGGAGCGAACAGG